rnacentral:rRNA from 1 species
AACGAACGCUGGCGGCGCGCUUAACACAUGCAAGUCGAGCGAGAACCAGGACUUCGGUCCUGGGGACAGCGGCGAACGGGUGAGUAACACGUGGAUAACCUGCCCUCGGCACCGGGAUAGCCCGGGGAAACCCGGAUUAAUACCGGAUGGCCCUUCCGGCUCACGAGCCGGUCGGAAAAGGUAGCUUCGGCCUCCGGCCGAGGAUGGGUCCGCGGCGGAUUAGCUUGUUGGUGGGGUAACGGCCUACCAAGGCUCCGAUCCGUAGCUGGUCUGGGAGGACGAUCAGCCACACUGGGACUGAGACACGGCCCAGACUCCUACGGGAGGCGGCAGUGGGGAAUCUUGCGCAAUGGCCGAAAGCCUGACGCAGCGACGCCGCGUGAGGGAGGAAGGCCUUCGGGUUGUAAACCUCUUUCAGGAGGGACGAAGCUACUCGGGUGAAUAGCCCAGAGGGUGACGGUACCUCCAGAAGAAGCCCCGGCUAACUACGUGCCAGCAGCCGCCGUAA